rnacentral:rRNA from 1 species
GACGAACGCUGGCGGCGUGCUUAACACAUGCCAGUCGAACGGAAAGGCCCUGCUGUUGUGGGGUGCUCGAGGGGCGAACGGGUGAGUAACACGUGAGUAACCUGCCCUUGACUUUGGGAUAACUUCAGGAAACUGGGGCUAAUACCGGAUAGGAGCUCCUGCUGCAUGGUGGGGGUUGGAAAGUUUCGGCGGUUGGGGAUGGACUCGCGGCUUAUCAGCUUGUUGGUGGGGUAGUGGCUUACCAAGGCUUUGACGGGUAGCCGGCCUGAGAGGGUGACCGGCCACAUUGGGACUGAGAGACGGCCCAGACUCCUACGGGAGGCAACAGUGGGGAGUAUUGCACAGUGGGCGGAAGCCUGAUGCAGCAACGCCGCGUGCGGGAUGACGGCCUUCGGGUUGUAAACCGCUUUCGCCUGUGACGAAGCGUGAGUGACGGUAAUGGGUAAAGAAGCACCGGCUAACUACGUG